ACUAGGGGGAGUCACAGACUUUAUUCUUCUCUUUCGUGUCUGAAAGUGAAAGUAAAUGCUCAGAGCUUAUUCUUCUGCAUCUAAAAAGACAGAAUCGAUUCUAGACGGAAUAUUAAUGUUUCAUAUGAACCUUUAUCGAUGUUUUCAAGCGCAGCUGCUUCAAAGAAAGGAGGAUUUCGUGAAUCUCUCUGAAUCAAAGACAAGCUUUUUUUAGAAUCAGUGCUGGAGAUCAGAUCCUGUUCAUCAUGGAACAAACAUCCACAGAUGAAGAGUUGUCUCCAGGGCGCAGUUCAUUUCAUCAGAAGAGAUCAGAAGCAGAGCCCAGCUGUGUGUCUAUGAAGAGUGAUUGGUCUAUGAUUCAUCCAAUACUGUUUAAGAGUGAAGACAAAAGGACUGAUCUCUGUUCAUUUCAUCAGAAGAGAUCAGAAGCA